UCUUCACUCGUAUAUCGGUUAGUAUACCUGCUUGUCACGCAGGUGAGCUGGGUUCAACUCCCAGGUGGAGAG